UUAUAUCGUAAAGUAUAUUAUUUAAUUUAGUAGUAUCCUUUUUCAUAUAUUCAUAAUAUACGCCCAUGCUUGACAAUCGUAAAAAAAAUGAAAGGUGAAGGUGCAAAUUUUCUAGCAUCUUCAUUCGCAAACUUAUACAUUCAAAAACAUCAUCAAUUCAAUCAUUCUUUUCACAAUAUAAUUUUGGGAAAUGUUGAAGUUUUAUCAGAUAUGUAUUAUACUGUUGAUUUUUGAAUCCUUUUUGGGGGCGCAAAAAAUCGAAGAGCCUCCUUCUUACGAACCGAAGGAUAUUCCAUCGGAUUACGAAAAAGCUAGAUCAGUUUUAGGGUACAGUCAUUUCAAAAGAUUACCUAAAAAUGGUCAGAAUUCAAGUGUCAAAUAUCCUUGGGAAAGUGAUUUUCCUAACGUAAAAUAUAAUUUUUAGAAGUUUAUAUUUAUUUUAAGGAUUAAUUAAAAUAGUUUCGAGUU